AGUGAACGCUGGCGGUAGGCCUAACACAUGCAAGUCGAACGGCAGCACAGUAAGAGCUUGCUCUUACGGGUGGCGAGUGGCGGACGGGUGAGGAAUACAUCGGAAUCUACUUUUUCGUGGGUGAUAACGUAGGGAAACUUACGCUAAUACCGCAUACGACCUACGGGUUAAAGCAGGGGAUCUUCGGACCUUGCGCGAUUGAAUUAGCCGAUGUCGGAUUAGCUAGUUGGCGGGGUAAAGGCCCACCAAGGCGACGAUCCGUAGCUGGUCUGAGAGGAUGAUCCGCCACACUGGAACUGAGACACGGUCCAGACUCCUACGGGAGGCAGCAGUGGGGAAUAUUGGACAAUGGGCGAAAGCCUGAUCCAGCAAUACCGCGUGGGUGAAGAAGGCCUUCGGGUUGUAAAGCCCUUUUGUUGGGAAAGAAAAGCAGCAGGUUAAUACCCCGCUGUUCUGACGGUACCCAAAGAAUAAGCACCGGCUAACUUCGUG
rnacentral:rRNA from 1 species